CCUACGGGAGGCUGCAGUGGGGAAUAUUGGGCAAUGGGCGCAAGCCUGACCCAGCAAAGCCGCGUGAAGGAAGACGGCUCUCGGGUUGUAAACUUCUUUUAUCAGGGACGAAGCAAGUGACGGUACCUGCUGAAUAAGCCAAGGCUAACUAAGUGCCAGCAGCCGCGGUGAUACGUAGGGGGCAGGCGUUAUACGGAUUUACUGGGUGUAAAGGGCGUGUAGGCGGGAAAGCAAGGCAGAUGUAAAAACCAUGGGCUGAACCUGUGGCCUGCAUUUGAAACUGGUUUUCUUGAGUGCUGGAGAGGCAGGCGGAAUGCCUGGUGUAGCGGUGAAAUGCGUAGAUAUUAGGAGGAACACCGGUGGCGAAGGCGGUCUGCUGGACAGCAACUGACGCUGAGGCACGAAAGCGUGGGGAGCAAACAGGAUUAGAUACCCCGGUAGUC
rnacentral:rRNA from 1 species